rnacentral:rRNA from 1 species
GAUGAACGCUGGCGGCGUGCCUAAUACAUGCAAGUCGAGCGAACGGACGAGAAGCUUGCUUCUCUGAUGUUAGCGGCGGACGGGUGAGUAACACGUGGAUAACCUACCUAUAAGACUUGGAUAACUUCGGGAAACCGGAGCUAAUACCGGAUGAUAUUUUGAACCGCAUGGUUCAAAAGUGAAAGACGGUCUUGCUGUCACUUAUAGAUGGAUCCGCGCUGCAUUAGCUAGUUGGUAAGGUAACGGCUUACCAAGGCAACGAUGCAUAGCCGACCUGAGAGGGUGAUCGGCCACACUGGAACUGAGACGCGGUCCAGACUCCUACGGGAGGCAGCAGUAGGGAAUCUUCCGCAAUGGGCGAAAGCCUGACGGAGCAACGCCGCGUGAGUGAUGAAGGUCUUCGGAUCGUAAAACUCUGUUAUUAGGGAAGAACAUAUGUGUAAGUAACUGUGCACAUCUUGACGGUACCUAAUCAGAAAGCCACGGCUAACUACGUG